CUAACCUUUAGUCUGUGAAAUUCUCUCUAGAACCUUCGAUCCUCUCUCUUCUCUGAUGGUUUUCCUUGCUGUUCUGGCCACCUCCAACCUCACUCCUCUCGACCACCACUCACCAUGGUACUAUAUCUCAUUGUUUCUCUCUCAAACUCGAAGCCUAGAGGCUUCCGCCAUAAAAGACGGUCGAUUGAAGAUUGCUUGAGUCUUUGCUGGCCUUUCUCCGAUGAUUUUCACACGAUAAUGCUCUCUAUGGCGUUAUUAAUGGGGUUUCAUAGCCAGGUUCCUCCUUUCUUUAACUCGUCUGCGAACCCUAGUUUUUUCUACUCAAAUCUCUUUAAUUUUCGGUUUUUAAAAUGAUUUUUAGUUUGAUUCUUUGUUUUUUACUCUCAGUCUCCGAUUAUCUUAAGUUUUUCUAUGAUUUCUCCUCUUUUUCAAAGUUAGGGUUUCUGACCUUUUUGCCCAAAUCGCUUUUUCUGCCUUUUUAUGAGUAUUAUAUGUUUAUGCUUGUUUGUUUUGCGAGUGUUUACUUCUUUGUUAGCCUGAGUUCCAUGCCUUAUUUCUCUGACUGUGGUUUUGACCCUUUGUUUACAUGCUUAGGGUUCUCUCAAAUCCAUGUCUGUUAUGCUUUAUAGGCCUGAGUGCUCAUCGUUUGGGCAAUAUCAUGCUGAUUCUGAACAUCUUUGUGAAUCCUUGACUGGUCUGUGAUUGUCCUUAGACGAUUUUAUUUCUUUUGAAUUAUUUUCUUACUUGGGUAUGCCUUCCUUACUUACAACUCUCUCUGAUUUUUAGGCUUUGCCCGAGAUUCUCUGAUUAAUUGGUAGAAUUAGCUCAUAUUUUCUUACCAUAUUUGUACAGAGACGACCGUCUGAAUCUUUAGACUAUAUUUUCCUUACCUAAACUGCUAUGUAUCUGACCUUUAUUGAAUACUAUAUGCUUGUUACUUUCACUAGGGUAAAUGUAGUUAAUUGAUUCUUUUCCUUUUUGAAACCUAUGCUUGUUACUGUUUUUCUUUGACUCCUUAGUUAAAGGGAAGUCUUGAUACUAAUUGGACUCUUAAUUGAUACUAGUCCCUAAAUUAAAGAUUGCUGCUUGUUUGUUAUGUUUGUUACCGUUUGUCUUUAACUACUUAGUUAAAGGGGAGUCCUGAUACUAAUUGGACUCUUAAUUGAUACUAGUCCCUUAAUUAAAGAUUGCUUCUUGUUUGGUACUCAUUUUCCAGUACUAUAAAUACCCUUCCCCCAUUCUCUUUGAAACACCAACACACACUGCAUCUCUCUCAUAAUUUCAAGCUCUGUGAAUUCUCUCUUUCACUUUCCCUGCUAUCUCUAUACUCUCUCAUUCUCUUAUUUGAAUACUCAAUCGACUGAAAGCCAAGAUUGAGUAGCCUGGGCUGUUUACCUCUACGCUAUUGAGUUCUAUUGCUUUGCUUACUUGGUUUGCUGCUACUGCUGUUCUCACACUACUAUUCUCUAUGCUGCUCACACUCCCUGCACACCCUGGUCUUUCUGUGCACUCUUGCUUAUUGCUCUUUGUGUUCUAUUUGUCUGCAACUGGUAUGUUAUCUAUUUAGUAUCCAGUCCCGAAAACAAUAUGCUUUUGUUAGUCCUGCACUUCAUCUUGUUCCUAGCAUGCUUCUAUCUGUGGUUCUGUUGUUCUUAUUGUCACUAGUAUGCACUCACUAGCCUGCUUAGUUUCAGCUUAGCAUGCUCCCCUUACCAGUUCCAUGUCUCAAUGUAUGUUUACUUUCCUUGUGUAUACCACCAUGUGUCCAGGACUGCUUGGCUACUUGAUUAGCCUAAAAACCUCUUCUUGAGGUUAAGUAUUUAGGGUUUGGUACAGUAAGAGCUGAAACCCCUUGUUUGUCGCAACUGUGUUUGAUUACCUGCUUUCAUUAUGUAUGUCUGUGUGUGAGUAGGUCCAUGUACUUAUCUAUUCCCUCCUCCUUUGCCCCUGUUUGUGUGAUGAUCUGUUUUAAACUGGUUAGUACCAAUGAUUUCAAAGGAAUUCCUUUCAACUUUCUCAACUCUCUUAAACUACUUUCUCAAACUGUCUCUCAACUCUUUUUCUUAAACUGACUCUCAAUUGUUUUAAACUCUCUCAAUCCUAUCACAACUUCACUGCUCUUAGAACCCUAGGUUCUGCCCCCUUAGUGUAAGCAUUACCUUAGGAGCCCUUGAGCACCCAUUGAAUUUUGAUGCACAAGGCUGGCACUUUCUACACUUGCACUUGUCUAAUAUUGAUACUCUGGGUGCUUGGUAUUGGCCAGGAGUUCAAAUGAACCCUUAGGGAACUUCGCCGCACCUAAGCCUUGGUAAUGGCUGUGAAACUCGAAAGAAGUGAGGUUGGAGAUGUUUGGCCUGGCUGAAGGCUUCCUAUUGAAUAGCUUCUUAUUUUUCUUUUAUCACUGUUGUAAUUUAAUGUAUCUAGGCUGUAAUAAUUUGUAAGAAUAUUGGGGCAUAUAGUGAAUAUGGGGGUUAUGCAUGUUUAAUUAAGGGAAUGGGUAGAAAACAUGCCUAUAAGACUUAUUUAUUUAUUUGUGCAAUUGCUACCAUGCCUUAGGACAUGCAUCCUCACAUAUAGAAACCAUGUUCUUAGGCCUUUUACUUUCAGUUGCUACUCUGUACAUUCUCGUAACCAUAACUAAUUAAUAAGCAACAAGUCAUUUAGAUAUCAUGUUCAUAGGAGCUCUAUGCAUUAGAGACCAUGCCUUUAGGACCUUUUAUAUGCAAUGCUUUAAGUAUUUCGUUAAUCUGGGUAAAAAAUUGGUCAACGACCCUCUCUUUAAAACUGGAAGCAAAUGUGCAUGUUCAGCGCUUGUUAAUAACACCUAGGCAAGCCUUAGGUCAGAUAAAAUGGG
rnacentral:lncRNA from 1 species